rnacentral:rRNA from 1 species
AUUGAACGCUGGCGGCAGGCCUAACACAUGCAAGUCGAGCGGAUGAAGGGAGCUUGCUCCUGGAUUCAGCGGCGGACGGGUGAGUAAUGCCUAGGAAUCUGCCUGGUAGUGGGGGAUAACGUCCGGAAACGGGCGCUAAUACCGCAUACGUCCUGAGGGAGAAAGUGGGGGAUCUUCGGACCUCACGCUAUCAGAUGAGCCUAGGUCGGAUUAGCUAGUUGGUGGGGUAAAGGCCUACCAAGGCGACGAUCCGUAACUGGUCUGAGAGGAUGAUCAGUCACACUAGAACUGAGACACGGUCCAGACUACUACGGGAAGCAGCAGUGGGGAAUAUUGGACAAUGGGCGAAAGCCUGAUCCAGCCAUGCCGCGUGUGUGAAAAAGGUCUUCGGAUUGUAAAGAACUUUAAGUUGGGAGGAAGGGCAGUAAGUUAAUACCUUGCUGUUUUGACGUUACCAACAGAAUAAGCACCGGCUAACUUCGUG